UCUUCUCUUUCCUUGCUUCUUUCUUGAUGCUUUGGGUAGCUUAAAGCUGGGGGGAUUGGAUUUUGAUUUAAGUGUUGUGGAUUAAUGUGUGCUGGGUCUGUACUGUGGUGGAAUGUUUUGUCUGGAUUGUGUGGUGCCCUUUUGAACUGUUGCCCAGUUCCCUUUUUUCCUCCCCUAAAUUAUCAGUACAGGUGCCUCUUGGGAACAAGUGUGUGGGUUAUUCUCUUGAUGCUAUCUCAAAGAAUUAAAGAACUCUCUCUCUAUAUAUAUAUAUCUAUUUUAAAGUAAAACUCCUGGCUAAGCCCCUGAGCUUGUGAUUCUGGGUCUGGGGUGUUACAAGUGCGUACAUGAACACAGAGUUGUGACUGCAGAGCUGUAGCAGGAGUUAAUUUUCAUUAAUUUAGGGUUGUGUUUUGUCUUUUUAAGCUGCCGAGGUCUCAAAGAAUCACAAAACUCUCAGCUCUCAUCCUGGUAGGUAGAUUGUGUAGAAAUCAUCUCUGAAAUAUUUUAAACUCUUCUGAAUAAUUAAUUAUAGUGACAGAUUUUUCCAAAUGGACUCUCAGUGCAAGGUAUUCUAUUGCAUUAUUCUCCUACAGAGAUUUCUAGUUUAUUUCUUUGCACUCUUUAUCUUACAUCAUUCUGUGCACAUGCUGUUACUUUUUUUUUGUGCUGCUUCAUAUUCCCAUUAUUGCUUCUUCCCUUGGUCAGGCCAUUCCAACAUACACAUUGCACCUGCUUAGAUAUCUUUAAAACUACCUCUACAAAUCCCUAAAUCCAUUACAGAUGCAAACCAGAGCCUCUCAGCGAGACACUCUGUCUUUUGGACACCAAGUUGUCAUCAAAAAUCUCACCAUCACUUCUUCACCUGCUCAUGUGGUGCCCAGCUGUGCCUUGUUGGCCCUGCACUUGCCUGUUGUAUGAGAUUUGCUGCUCAGAGGUUGGACUUCAAAUGAGACGAGGAGCUGGAGAAGAGACAUCUUGUGUGGAAGAGGCUGGACUGUCCUCGUGGACUUACCUCCCAAGGUUGCAGGCUGAUGUGAUAAACUCUGGCUCUAAUGGAAAACCAGUUAGGAAGCAGAAAGAGGAGAGAUUGCAGAGCUGGGGGCAGCAAUACCAGCUUGUGACCCAACACUGACCUGC